rnacentral:rRNA from 1 species
UACAGAGGUCCCAAGCGUUGUUCGGAUUCAUUGGGCGUAAAGGGUGCGUAGGCGGCAGGGUAAGUUGGAUGUGAAAUCCUGGGGCUUAACCUCAGAAUUGCAUUCAAUACUGCCUUGCUAGAGAGCUGUAGAGGAGACUGGAAUUUACGGUGUAGCAGUGAAAUGCGUAGAUAUCGUAAGGAACGCCAGUGGCGAAAAGCGAGUCUCUGGGCAGCAUCUGACGCUGAGGCACGAAGGCCAGGGGGAGCAAAACGGGG